rnacentral:rRNA from 1 species
AGAGUUUGAUCAUGGCUCAGGAUGAACGCUAGCUACAGGCUUAACACAUGCAAGUCGAGGGGAAACGACAUCGAAAGCUUGCUUUUGAUGGGCGUCGACCGGCGCACGGGUGAGUAACGCGUAUCCAACCUGCUCAUCACUUGGGGAUAACCUUGCGAAAGUAAGACUAAUACCCAAUGACGUCUCUAGAAGACAUCUGAAAGAGAUUAAAGAUUUAUCGGUGAUGGAUGGGGAUGCGUCUGAUUAGCUUGUUGGCGGGUAACGCCACAAGGCGACGAUCAGUAGGGGUUCUGGAGAGGAAGGUCCCCCANAUUGGAACUGAGACACGGUCCAAACUCCUACGGGAGCA